GACGAACGCUGGCGGCGUGCUUAACACAUGCAAGUCGAACGGUGAAAGCGGAGCUUGCUCCGCUGGAUCAGUGGCGAACGGGUGAGUAACACGUGGGCAACCUGCCCUUCACUUCGGGAUAACUCCGGGAAACCGGGGCUAAUACCGGAUAUGACCUCUGCGGGCAUCCGCGGAGGUGGAAAGUUUUUCGGUGAAGGAUGGGCCCGCGGCCUAUCGGCUUGUUGGUGAGGUAGUGGCUCACCAAGGCCACGAAGGGUAGCCGGCCGGAGAGGGCGAGCGGCCACACUGGGACGGAGACACGGCCAAGACUCCUAGGGGAGGCAGCAGUGGGGAAUAUUGCGCAAUGGGCGAAAGCCUGACGCAGCAACGCCGCGUGGGGGAUGACUGCCUUCGGGUUGUAAACCGCUUUCAGCAGGGAAGAAGCCGCAAGGUGACGGUACCUGCAGAAGAAGCACCGGCUAACUACGUGCCAGCAGCCGCCGUAA
rnacentral:rRNA from 1 species